rnacentral:rRNA from 1 species
GGUGAAAAGCACUUCGAAUAGAAGAGUGAAAUAGUCCCUGAAACCAUGCGCCUACAAGCGGUCGGAGCAGCUUAUGCUGUGACGGCGUGCCUUUUGCAUAAUGAACCUACGAGUUACUUUUUCCGGCAAGGUUAAGGAUCUAGAGAUCCGUAGCCGAAGCGAAAGCGAGUCUGAACAGGGCGAUAAGUCGGAAGGAGUAGACGCGAAACCAAGUGAUCUACCCUUGGCCAGGUUGAAGGUUAGGUAACACUAACUGGAGGACCGAACCGAUAAGCGUUGAAAAGCUUCCGGAUGAGCUGAGGGUGGGGGUGAAAGGCUAAUCAAACUUGGAGAUAGCUCGUACUCCCCGAAAUGCAUUUAGGUGCAGCCUUGUGAGUUACUAAUGUGAGGUAGAGCGACUGAUAAGAUGCGAGGGCUUCACCGCCUAUCAAGUCUUGAUAAACUCCGAAUGCGCAUUAGUUCUAUCACAGGAGUGAGGGCAUGGGUGCUAAGGUCCAUGUCCUAAAGGAGAAGAAUCCGGACCAUCAGCUAAGGUCCCGAAAUAGAUACUAAGUUGAACUAACGAAGUCAGAUUGCUAAGACAGCUAGGAUGUUGGCUUGGAAGCAGCCAUUCAUUUAAAGAGUGCGUAACAGCUCACUAGUCGAGGAGUUUGGCGUGGAUAAUAAUCGGGCAUCAAGUAUCUUACCGAAGCUAUGGGAUCAUUAAUGAUCGGUAGGGGAGCAUUCCACUCCGCGUCGAAGGUGAAGCGUGAGCUUUGCUGGAGCGUGUGGAAAAGCAAAUGUAGGUAUAAGUAACGAUAAAGGGGGUGAGAAACCCCCUCGCCGAAAGACUAAGGUUUCCUGAUCAACGCUAAUCGGAUCAGGGUUAGUCGGGUCCUAAGGCUCAGCCGAACGGUGAGGCCGAUGGCAGAACAGGUUAAUAUUCCUGUACUACCUUAAGGAGUGACGUGGAGACGGAGUCGUGACAACGCCGCGGACUGACGGAAUAGUCCGUUGAAGGGUGUAGAUGUUGAUUGUGGCAGGCAAAUCCACCACGAGAGUCGAACCUGAUAGUAUACCAAUUCCUUCGGGAAACGGUAAUAGUGCGUGUAAACAUACUCCCGAGAAAAUCCGCUAAACUUAAUCCUUGAGGUACCCGUACCGCAAACGGACACACGUAGUCGGGUUGAAUAUACUAAGGCGCUUGAGUGAUUCACGGUUAAGGAACUAGGCAAAUUGACCCUGUAACUUCGGGAUAAAGGGUCCCAACGAGAGUUGGGCGCAGAGAAUAGGUCCAGGCAACUGUUUAACAAAAACACAGGGCUGUGCCAAAUUGAAAGAUCACGUAUACAGCCUGACACCUGCCCGGUGCUGGAAGGUUAAGAGGAGAUGUCAUCGCAAGAGAAGCAUUGAAUUGAAGCCCCAGUAAACGGCGGCCGUAACUAUAACGGUCCUAAGGU